UGGGAUUAGACAUGGSSCAGCUKAYUAGCMAUGCGCUGARUGWUGARGGCCYAGGUYGUAAAGCUCUUCAACUGUGAARAUAUGACUGUAGCAKUAGAGAACCCGGCUAAUCCGUGCCAGCAGSCGCGGUAUASGAGGGGUAWGCGUUKUUGGAAUUACUGGGSGUAAAGCUGUACGURGGSGGAUUAAUAAGUAGAGGUGAAUCCCAGGSUCAACCUGGAACUGCCUUAAAACUDUUAGUCUGAGAUCGAGAGAGGUGAGUGGAAUUCCAAGUGUAGAGGUGAAAUUCGUAGAUAUUKGGAGGAACACCAGUGGCGAAGGCGGCUCACUGRCUCGAUAUCUGACGRUGAGGUACGAAAGUGUGGKAGCAAACAGGAUUAGAUACCCUGGUAGUCCACACCGUAAACGAUGAAUGCCAGACGUCAGCAAGCAUGCUUGUUGGGUCACACCUAACGGAUUUAGAUUCCGCCUGGGGAGUACGGUCGCAAGAUUAAAACUCAAAGGAAUUGACGGGGGCCCGCACAAGCGGUGGAGCAUGUGGUUUAAUUCGACGCAACGCGCAGAACCUUACCAACCCUUGACAUACUUGUCGCGGAUUCCAGAGAUGGAUUCCUUCAGUUCGGCUGGACAAUGUACAGGUGCUGCAUGGCYGUCGUCAGCUCGUGUCGUGAGAUGUUCGGUUAAGUCCGKCAACGAGCGCAACCCACGUCMUUAGUUACCAGCAUUUAGUUGGGUACCCUAAGGAGACUGCCGGUGAUAAGCCGGAGGAAGGUGUGGACGACGUCAWGUCAUCAUGRCCYUUACGGGUUGGGCUACACACGUGCUACAAUGGCAUCUACAGUGAGUUAAUSUCCAAAAGAUGUCUCAGUUCGGAUUGGGGUCUGCAACUCGACCCCAUGAAGUUGGAAUCGCUAGUAAUCGCGGAACAGCAUGCCGCGGUGAAUACGUUCCCGGGCCUUGUACACACYGCCCGUCACACCAUGGGAAUUGGGUCUACCCGAAGGUGGUGCGCCAACUAU
rnacentral:rRNA from 1 species